rnacentral:rRNA from 1 species
UCAGAUCAUGUAAAAUUUCAAAGGUCGAACAGACCUAAUUUAUUAGCUUCUCCACCAACAAUUAAUUUUAAUCCAACAUCGAGGUCGCAAUCUUUUAUUUCGAUUAGAACUCUAAAAAAAAUUACGCUGUUAUCCCUAAGGUAAUUCAAUCUUAUAAUCUAUACUAUAGGAUCAUAAACUCAUAAAUUAAUGGUUUUAUAAAAAAAAAGUUAAUUAAAUUUU